GACGAACGCUGGCGGCGUGCUUAACACAUGCAAGUCGAACGAAGUGGCGAACGGGUGAGUAACGCGUAAUCAACCUGCCCUUCAGAGGGGGACAACAGUUGGAAACGACUGCUAAUACCGCAUACUGAAGGCGGGGAUUGCGUCCGAUUAGCUAGUUGGAGGGUUACCGGCCCACCAAGGCGAUGAUCAGUAGCCGAUCUGAGAGGAUGAACGGCCACAUUGGGACUGAGACACGGCCCAGACUCCUACGGGAGGAAGCAGUGGGGAAUAUUGGGCAAUGGGCGUUAGCCUGAACCAGCCAAGUAGCGUGAAGGAUGAAGGUCUAUGGGUCGUAAACUUCUUUUAUAUAAGAAUAUGUAUUAUAUGAAUAAGGAUCGGCUAACUCCGUGCCAGCAGCCGCGGUAAUUC
rnacentral:rRNA from 1 species